rnacentral:tRNA from 1 species
GCCGGGGUAGCCAAGCCAGGUCUAAGGCGACCGCCUCGAGCCCUUACGGUUAAGCGAACCGAGAGGCAGGAUAGCGGUUGUCCCUCCGGGACACGUGAGUUCAAAUCUCACCCCCGGCG